UGAAGUGAGAUGACAUGCAUGCCUUCAUCACUAAGGGAAGAGAGCAUCAGAGUCUGGAAGUCAUGAUGCAAUUGGACAAAACUUUGGGCUACAUCUGGAGUAUGGAAUGCAGCUUUAGUUGCUCCAUUAUUAUUCAAGAAUCAAGAUUGAUUAACGUCAUUUCUGGUACACAAGUGUAGAGGAGAAUGAAAUAAUUCUUGAAUAAACUCUUCUUGGGCUUCCAGCCAGGUACAGGUAUCAAUUAUAACCAAUGCUUCAAUGACAAAUUCUGCCAUCUUCUUCAGGGAUGAUGCCUGGGCAUGCCUAGUCCAGUGGUAUUUUUACCCCUGUAUUCUGUCCCCCCGAUUGGUUAGUCCUCAUCCAAUCAGGUUUCCGCUCUCCCACCUUGUUUGCAAUCGAAUUCCAGUUCUUACUUAGAAAGAGCCCUUCAUCUUUGUUAAAAUUCUACUAGACAUGCUAGACAUGCCUUGGCAUCAUCCUUGACGAAGAUGGCAGAGCUUGUCAUCGAAACGUCGGUUAUCGUUGAUAUCUGUACCCGGCUGGAAGCCCAAGAAGAGUUUAUUCAUCAUAUACACCAUGAAAGCACUAGAAGUAAUUGUUACUUCAGAUUCAAUGCAGCACAAACAAACAUAAUAAGACAAUAAUAUUCUAGAAAAGCACAAUAAAUAUAUACGGGAGACAUAAGAUAGCCUACGUAUGUAGAUUGAUCCUACAUCCAUAAAGUGACACAAGGCACAGGAGUGUCUGUACUUAAGGUGACUCUGACAGGAAAUGAUAAAGUUGUUGGUAUCCUCUACAUGAAGGAUGUGGAAGUUAUGGGGAGGGUGCAGAAGAGGUUCACUGGGAUACUGUUUUGAUUAGAGGGUAUGAGUUAUAAGGAGAGGUUGGACAAACUUGGAUUGUUUUCUGUGGAGUAUCAAAGGCUGACAAGGUUAUAAAAUUAUGAGAGGCGUAGAGAUGGGAGACAGUCAGAAUCAUUUUCCCGAGGUAGAAAUGUUGCCAACUAGAGAGGGAACAUGUUUAAAAGGGAUAUUCAGGGCGAGCGUAUUUUUUAACUCAGAUAUAGCAGGUGCUUGGAAAGUGGGUUCAUAGUUGAGUUAGACAUGCUAAUGGUGUUCGAGAGGAUUUAAGAGAGCCACGUGGAUAUGGAGGGAUUUGGACCAUGUGCAGGCAAAAGGGAUUAGCUUAAUUUGGUGUCAAGAUCAGCACUGAGGUCAUAGGCCAAAGGCCUUGUUCCUUUGCUUCACUAUGUUCCAUGUUCUGUGUUCUUUAUUAAUCUUAAUGCGUAGAAUCAUUCGUUCCUUUCUCAUUUAUUUCCUGAAUGUUCAACUGUUUUGUUCUUUUUUAUUUACUAAGAUUCUGUUUAUCAGCAAUGUGUCAGAUACUGAUUCACGUAAACCUACAAUGAGAUCAAAACCUACACUCCUUGCUGAUCCUGUUGGUCGAUUCAGGAGCAGCUUCUUCCCCUCUGCCAUCCGAUCCCUGAAUGGACUUCGAAGCUUUGGACACUACCUCACUUUUUUUAAUAUACAGUAUUUCUGUUUUUUGCACAUUUUUAAUAAUCUAUUCAAUAUAUAUAAUUGAUUUACUUGUUUAUUUAUUAUUGUGGUUUUUUUUCUCUGCUAGAUUAUGUGUUGCAUCGAACUGCCACUAAGUUAACAAAUUUCACGUCACGUGCCGGCGAUAAUAAACCUGAUUCUGAUUCUAAUUCUGAUUCCUCAACAUUAAAUUCUGGAAAAAAAACUUUUAUUGAUACAUGAAUAUUUUAAUGCAGGGCAUAGUUUUCUGUAACUCCUGCUGAUUGUGCACACAAAAAAAUCAAUAUCUAUAUUAAUUCAUUGUGUUUAGAUUAUAGUAUAUCUGAACUAUUUAAACCCUGAGACCUGUUGGUACACCAGUAAAAUAAGAUGGCUCUGGCAACCUCUCUUUCAAUUCCUUGUUUAUAACAUAACCAACUCCCUAUGAGUUGACAGCAAGCCACCUCAAGAUUUUGGUCUGGAGAUUGGAAAUACCAUGAAAUACCCAGUCAUAUUCAGUUUCCUGUGGUUUUUAUUGACAAGUUCACAUUAGUUAUCAGUGGAGGGUGGGAUCGGGCACAAAUUCAAUUGUCCCACCCCGCUGUCAAAUUUAUCAUAAAAAUCUCAGAUUAUAUUUGCAAAUAGGCAGUUUGUGCAGUGGCAAUAACCUUUGCCUGGUGAGUCACCGUUGUUCUCAUUAUGUGAUACAACACAGAGGCAUGCCCUUCAGCCCAUCAUGCCCCAUACUAGCCAUUAAAUACCCAUUUAUAAGCAGCCUACUAUGCUCUGGUGAUCCAAGUGCUGCUAAUCCUGAGGAUUCUGAAGUACUGUGAACUCUUCUGUCUCCACCACCUCCCAGGUCAGUGCAAUCAGCCUCCAUCCACCCUCUGGGAGGAGAAAAGAUCUCUUCUAAAUCUUUCACUCCUCACCUUACAGUCCUGACCUCCAGACUUACACAGUUCUGCCAUGGGAAACAAUUUUUUUUGAUAACUAUUCUAUCUAUAAGUUUGUUUGCCACGAUCAGGUGCAACCCUCCACCCCACCACAAUUCCCCACCCCAGUCUGCUCAAAGAAGGCCAGUUGAUCCAGUUUCUCAUCAUUUUCAUCCUGGUGGAUCUCCUCUGCAUCCACUCCGCUGCCUCACAAACCUCGUGUAGCACAUCUUUCCCAAUGUGUGGGGACCAGAGCCACACGCCAUGUUCUAAAGUUCUAUUGAGUUGAUAAAAUUGUUUCAAAACCUCUUACUCUUCAAUUCUAUGUUGGAGAAGACAACAAUGCUUUCUUUAUCAUAGCUUCAUAGAAAAGUACAGCACAGAACAUGCCCUUCAGCCCAUCUAGAACAUGCAGAACCAUUCAAACUGCCUAUUCCCAUUGACCUGCACCGGGACCAUAGCCAUCCAUAUCCCUGCCAUCCAUGUGCCUAUCCAAUGUUGAAAUCGGGCUUGUGCUGGCAGCUUGUUUCACAGUCACACAAACGUCUGAGUGAAGAAGUUUCCUCUCAUGUUCCCCUUAAACUUUUCACCUUUCACCUUUAACCCACGAUCUCUAGUUGUACCCCCAUCCAACCUCAAUGAAAAAAGCCUGCUUGCAUUUACCCUACCUAUACCCCUCAUAAUAUUGUAUACCUCUAUCAAAUCUCCUCUCAAUCUUCUACGUUCCAAAGACUUGUCCUAACCUAUUCAAUCUUUCUUGUGCUUCCUCCUGAAUUUCUACGAAGAAGAAAUGGACCUGGGUUACUUGUAGUUGUAAACUUUACUUUGUGAUGUGGUUAUCACCAUGAUAACCAUAAGUCCACAAGGCGUAGGCCAUUUGGCCCAUCAAGUCUACUGUGGCAUUUUAUCACGGGCGAUCCAUUUCCCUCUGAAUUCCAGUCUUCUGCCUUCUCUCUGUAAUCUUUCAUGCCCUGACUAAUCAAGAACCCCCUCCUCACUGACAAUUAACACAGGCAUACCUCAUGGAUGCGUGCUUAGCCCUACUCUCUCCACACCCAUGACUGUGUGGCUAAGUACAGCACAACCACCAUCUAUAAAUUUGCCAAUGGACUAACCAUUGUCAGCAGAGCCUCAGAUGAGACAAGGAGGCAUACAGGAGUGAGACAGAUCAGCUGGUUGAGUGGUGUCGCUACAACAACCUUGCACAGAAUGUCGGCUGUGGAGUACAGGGAGGGAAGAUCGAGGGCAAGCGUUCUCAUCGAGCGAUCUGCAGUGGAAAGGGUGAGCAGUUUCAAGUUCCUGGGUGUCAACAUGUCUGAAGCUCUAUCCUGGGCCCAACAUAUUGACGCAAUUACGAAUAAAACAUGUCAGUGGCUUUUAGUAUGUCAUCAAAGACUCUUGCAGAUUUCUACGGUUGUACCUUGGAGUUAUACCGUGGUUCUCAUUUGUGAUGCAUACCACCAGCAACUGACUCUAAUCAAGCACCUGAGAUAAUACGUGAUACCAUCUCCCAACAAGAAACAGUUCAUCCCAAUAGUCAAGGAUCCCUGCCAAAUGACUAUCAGCAUAUAACCUGUAGCACCAGAGGUCCUAAAACACAAGACCACUGUUAUACUAAGAUAAGGAAUUCUUUGGCCAGACCACAUUUUGGGAAAUCUGAUUACUUGUCUGUCCUUCUACCUGCAUGCAGGUGGAGGCUAAAGAGCAAGGCUCCAGGCAUUAGGACAACACAGAGGAGGUCGCAAGAGGCAGAGGGGCAGCUACAGGAUCGCUUUGAGUUGGUGGACUAGGCCAUGUUCAAGGCCUCAUCAGUGGAUCUGAAUGAAUACACCAUGGUUGUCACGGACUUCAUUAAAGCAGUUGUAGACAAGAGUAUCCCUGCAAGAUCAUUCAGGCUCUUCCCCAACCGGAAGCCCUGGAUGAACAAUGAGAUCUGCAAUUUGCUGAGGGCCAGAUCAGACGCAUUCAGGUCUGGUGACCAAGGAAGUUACAAGAUGUCCAGACUUGAUUCGAGGCAAGAGAAGACACAAGGAGAAGAAUGAUUGUGUCUUUGCAUCGAUGAAUAACAAGAUUUGUUUCCAUUCUGCCGUUACCUCAAUAUGGCGUCGGCUUCAGGGCGACAUCCUCAGCUGCUUUACUGUGGGACACGAUGCAUUCUCUGUAAACUCUAGAGACUGUUCUGCGUGAAAAUCCCAGCAGGCCAGCAGUUCCUGAGAUACUCCAACCACCCAGUACAGCACCAACAAUCAUUCCACGUUCAGAGCCACUUACAUCACAUCUCUUCGCCAUUCUGAUGUUCGGUCUGAACAACAACUGAACCUCCUGACCGUGUCUGCAUGCUCCUGUGCAUUGAGUUGCUGCCACAUGAUUGGCUGAAUAGAUAUUACACGCGUACCUAAUAAAGUGGCCACUGAGUGUAUGGUUACAGUUUAGGACACUGCUUACUCAUUGUGGUCAAUUAUACCUCAACACUUGUUUAGAAUAUUUACACUGUUUCAACAUUGUGUUCAAUUCUGAAUCACAAGCAUUCCAUCAGUGAUUAGCUUGAAAGUACACAGGGCCACAGCCCUUCAGUGUGCAUUAUCAGGGAAACUCUGCACCGUCACCUUUCCCCACACACCCUGUGUGCCAGCAUGUCCCUCAGCUCAAACUUCUCUACCCAUCUCCAGCCUUUGGUUGCAAACAGCGGCUUGCACAGGAAGACCAGCAAGCUUUGCACAGAGGGAAGUCUGUCCUUCCUCAAGCUGAUCUCAGUCAUUGUCUGAGCAACAAUGCCAGAGGAACUCAGCAGGUCAGACAGAACCUUCUGGGGGAAAUAAGCAGUCCUAGUAAAGAGUUUCAACUUGAAAGUUGAAAGUUUUCCAGAUCUUGGCAAACACCACUCUCAACCCCACUGCAGCCACCUCGAGAGUAGUGUGUAGUGGGACUACGUUUCCAGCUGUAUAUGACUGUUCUCACCUCAAGUUCAGUAAGGUCUAGGUGCAUGUUUGAAAGCUAUGAUUUACUUGAGGUUUAUUCCCCAUCCACUUCACCCUGUGCAAGGCCAUUUCCAAUGACGGUUAAAAGUCACUUACGUUGCUGAGGGUCUAGUCACAAACAGUUCCGGGUAGAUUCCAUCUCUGAUAAAUACUUGUGAACCAGUUGAAUUUUCAGUGCAAUCUGGUGAUUUCACUACUGACACUAACCUUUGAUUCAAGCCCCAAUGGUUUAAUUAAUCGAAAUUAAAACUCCCCAGUUGCUAUAGUGGGGUUUAACACUUUGCAUUAUUAGUCCGAAUUUCUAAAUUGCUCCUCUGGUAAUAAAACCACCAGCUGGUUUCCUGUGACCGGAUUUCAUCCUGUUGAAUGAACUGGCUUGCAUAUAUAUUGAAGUUAUUUUUUACAUGACAAGCCUGCCUGAUGUUUAUUACUGUCACCCAGUCUACUGUUAGCCUUAUCUUUUGACACUAUUUCAAAGGAAGCAUCUAUAACAUGUGUCGUACAACUCCCACACAUCUUUAACAGAGUGUCAUUAAAAAGAAUGAAACCAAAAGACUAAUAUAGACUGGUGAAAGCAGAAAGCACCGAGUACUUAGAUUCAGAAUAAUGUGUGGGGUCUGAAUUCACAUUGCCUUUCACCUUUGUGAAUAUGAUCUCAUUUUUUGCCGCUCCCUAAUAUCAUUGUCAAUUAAAAGGAGAACGCAGAAGUGAAAGUAAAAAGACCUUGUACCAAUUCUGUUUCUUACAAGCCGGCUUUUAGACCUGAUCUCCCGAAUUUGCUGUUGCAUACCAGGCGUGACAGGAAGUACUUCAUCUCAGGGGCCAUCUUCACUUGCAACACCGCAUAUAUUUACCAGGCUGCUACUCCGUCAAGAGGGCUGCAUACGCAGGCCCCAGUCAAUUCCGUGGCCCUGCUCAUUCCUGAUUACAAACCUAUGUGUGUUAUAAUCCAGAGAUCCAUAUGUUUGAAAGA